rnacentral:lncRNA from 1 species
UGUCAUAUUCCUGAUUUGGUACAGACAUUUAGGUAUGUAGACAAUGGUUUAAAAAAAACCAGGGAUAUAUAGAAAAUAGACAUAGACAUAGAAAAACGGAGAGCUGUUUGAAAAAAUUAUACAUAGAACGGAAUAUCCCAAUAUGUUUAAGGGUGAAUUGUUCUGAGGGAGAUGGAACAUGCGUUUGUUCAAUGGAUUGAGUCAUUGGGGAAUAUAAAAAAAGGUAUGUUAAAAUCUUGUCAUAACAAAUCAUUGAAACAUGGAAAACAGGUAACGAGAUUAAGCUUUUGAUAAGAAGAGG